AACAGGAGGACCGACGGGGUGGCUGCGCCGGGGGCCCGUGUCCCAGGGCUGGGAAGCCGCGGUGCCGUACCCGCCCCCCGUCCUGAGCUCUCUCGGAUCCUGAGGCGUAUGGAACCUCAAUGUCUUUGUGAUAAUGGAAACCAAAAAAUUGAUUGGUAAACCACUUCAGCCAGCAAGACCAGUUAGACAUCUGUCUUCUCCCCAUGGUCUCAUUUUGGCAGAUCACUGGCUCCUGCUCAGAUCAAUACCCCAGCACAAAUUGUGCCAAUUGACAAUGAUCACUGCAGAGUCUUACUGAAGAAUGAAAAAAUCCUUGAAAAAAAUUAAGUAUACAAGUGCAGUUUAAAAAUUGUUCUUAUAGAACAGCACUUAGAGAUUCUGUGGUGAUUGUGAUGUCAUAACUUUAUUUUGGUAAAGUUUAGGGCUAUGCUUUGAGCUGGAACAGGUAAUCUGACUUCUGGAAACCUAAACAUAGGAAAAUAGGAGCAGCAUUCCCCUUUAAUUUUCAAAAUGAAAGUCCGUGCAGCACUCAGUGUUUACAAAGUGGAGUUGGCAGGGAAAACAACCAAAGUUUUAAGGAGCAUUCAUAAGAACAGAGGAUUUUGAAGAUAAAGAAUCGUUCAUUUAAUAUUUUGGACACCUAAAAAUGAAGUGGAUCUAGUAACAAUAACUGCGAUGGACCAUGACAAUCCAAUUUAUUUUUCAUUUCAAUAGUUGACUAUUUGGUUUUCCCUAAAAUGAGUAAGAAAUAUUUUAAACUAUAAAGAACUUUCUUUCUAAUCAGCUUCAGCUUUUGCAGGCAAGCAACUGCAUAAUUUGGGAAAGAACACUGGAAAGUAGUAAUUGACUUAGUUUUGUGGGAAGACCUGGUAUUUAUAAUUUGCACGUUACUUGCAAUUUUUUUUGUUUUUCAUCAUUUGUAAUAAUGGAAUGGAAAUGCAAGCUGUAACGAUUCUCAAAUAUAAAAUAUUUGCUACUAUAUUAUGUAUAUAGUACAUAAUCUUUUGUUGCCUUUAAAGUUGCUUUUAUUCUUGUUUCCAGCAAUUUUAUACCAACACUUGAAAGGAUCUUUUGUAAUCUCCUCAAAACCAUAAUUUGAUUGAGUAAAUUUAGUGGUGCAGUUCUCAGAGACAGAGAGGAGAAUUUAUUAUAGCUGUUUCUGACCAAUUGAUCUUUAGGUUAUUGGACCAUAAACAUUGUCUUGGCAGUCCUAAAAUUAUUAGCAGAGGCAGACUAAUAGGAAGCUGUAUUAGUGAUACCAAAUGGAACUAUGGAGCUGAAAAAAAUACUGCUUAUGUUAUAGAUCAAACUAUAUGAAAAGUAGUUCAGAAUUUUUAUAAACAGGACUAUUACUCUCAUAACCAAAAAGGAAAAUGUUAGGGAUUUGUAAGGUUGCACAUGCUUUAAGUUUCAAUGCUCUGUUCAACUCUCUAAUUUCCUUAUAAUGUCAAGAAAGUAUUUGGAUGAAGCAUUUAAUAAGUAAAAUUCCUAAAAUUAAAUUUUUUAUACUGUGAAUUUUCUGUAAAGAAAAAGUCACCCCAAAUAUUACUGGAAAGCAUUUUUCCAGCUCAGUGUCAAAAAGCCACUUAGCAGUUAUGGAACCAUUAUUUUGAGGAGUUUCAUCUGGAUGGGUUUUUUUCUCUCCCUCCCUCCCCAUUUACUCUCCUCCUCCCCACCAAGAGAGAAAAUAGGCAACUAUUUUUGUUCAUUUUUCCUGGGAUGGGCCAAAGGAACAGAAAAGAGAGACUCUCUGCACCAGGAGCAAACUAAUAUUUGGCAAAGGGUAAAAAUGGAGUUGUAAAGGUAAGUGUCAAUCCCUUUUAUCUCCAUUAAAGGGAUCUCGGUAGAAUUUCAUUCUGACAAAAGGUUUUUAAUUUGAUUAAGCAUAUCCCUCUUCUCUUCGAGUCUUAGAGCCAUUUUGCUGAGAUCCUGGUUUUUAGAUGAAAGUAUUCAAACUUCAAUCCCUCACUCAUUUAUUCUCCCUGGAAAAGGUUCCUUCUGAAGUACUGAGAAGGCAUUCAUUUAAAACCUAAAGCCAGAUUUUUAUGAUGAGCUGUUAUAUAUAGCACCCUUUAAAAACAACAGCUUUUUACUUUGCUAAUUCCUUCUACCUAUAUAAUAGUUUCAUUGCAAUCAGAAUUGUCAUAUAUGAUUAAAUUCUCUUACACUUUAAAUUGCCUUUUCUUGUUUGAAUCCCUUUUAUUGCUAAUUAUAAAAAGAAAUAGGAUCUAAUUUUAUGUAUAUUUGGAAUUUGGUAAGCCCUUAUGCUGAAUAUCUGUUGGAUAAGCCAUUGUGAUGGGCAGAACACUUACAUUGUCAUGCUACCAUGGGCCAGACAUUGAAGACUACACCGUAUUAAAAGACUUGAUGUGGUUCCUAAAUAUGACACUGAAAAGGACCAGCUAGUGCAAUGACUGGCCCUUUUUUAUUACUUAGCAGCUGUUUUGGGGCUGCAUUUUAUCCCAGCCAUUCAAUGCCAACUCUUUUCAGAGGAAGAUUAAACAGAAAUUGUGCACUGAGUUUUGUUACAGUGUUAACAUUCUGAUAGGUUUUCAAAGUCAAUUAAUCCUUUGUUACUGCACAUAUUCAGAAUGAGGCUGCAAAGACUUUUUAUAUUCUGUCUCUUUGCCUUUGUACAUAUGUAUAGCAUGUUUAUAUAAUCAUUGUACAUCUCCAGUAAUGUUGCGCUGUGCUCUGUAUAUAAAUUAAAAGAGUUGACAGAGUUAUUUUGUAAUGUUUGUCUUCAAUAGAAUUGGCCAAGACAAGUAUUUGAUAGACCUAAUCCAUCCAACAAUCAAAAUAGACUGCCUUUAUGCCUUGGGGAAAUUCUGAAAUGUUUGAAAAAUGAAUUUAAUUUAGGAUAGAGGAGGUUUGCUGGGGACAUACAAAGCUUUGUGGGUGGUUCAGAGUUGUGAUUAUAUUUGAGAGUGUUUCUGUUAUCUGUAAUUUUAUAGUCUUUAAAAAGUAGCUUUUAAAUUUAGCUAUUUGAAUUAUACAAGGAUGAAAAGAUGAUUGAAAA